rnacentral:rRNA from 1 species
GAACUGCACAAACGUUAUUCGGAAUCACUGGGGCUUAAAGAGUCCGUAGGCGGCCUGGAAGGUGAGGGUGUGAAAUCCCACAGCCCAACUGUGGGAACUGCGCUUCAAACCGUCAGGCUUGAGGGAGACAGGGGUGAGCGGAACAGAUGGUGGAGCGGUGAAAUGCGUUGAUAUCAUCUGGAACACCGGUGGCGAAGGCGGCUCACUGGGUCUCUUCUGACGCUGAGGGACGAAAGCUAGGGGAGCGAACGGGAUUAGAUACCCCGGUAGUCCUAGCUGUAAACGAUGAGCACUAGAUCGAGGGGACUCCCACAUCCUCUCGGUCGUAGCAAAAGCGUUAAGUGCUCCGCCUGGGGAGUAUGGUCGCAAGGCUG